UACGUAGGGUGCGAGCGUUAAUCGGAAUUACUUGGCGUAAAGUGUGCGCAGGCGGCCGCGCAAGUCGAGUGUGAAAGCCCCGGGCUUAACUUGGGAAUUGCGCCCGAAACUACGUGGCUAGAGUGUGGCAGAGGGAGGUGGAAUUCCACGUGUAGCGGUGAAAUGCGUAGAGAUGUGGAGGAACACCGAUGGCGAAGGCAGCCUCCUGGGCCAACACUGACGCUCAUGCACGAAAGCGUGGGGAGCAAACAGG
rnacentral:rRNA from 1 species